ensembl:lncRNA
CCUGGCUCCCCUUGGUCUGCAACCCCCGCCCCGCUGCCCCGCGGACCCGGGGGUCUGCAGUGAGCGCCGCAAGAGGGCGGGGCCCGCGGACCCCUGACCGUCACUUCUCGGGGGGAGGGGGGCUUGCGCUGCCGCCGAUGGGGCCCUGGGGGACCCCGGACGGCGGUCCUUGCACUCGCCCGCCCGGCUCCCCGCGUCCGCGCUGCAGGGAGCGCCCCGCCUGGGCACGGCCGUGCCCGCCCGGAGGAGGGAGGAGGCCGGCGGCCGCGGGAACAAUGUGGUCGGUUGUUUUGCCGACUGUCAGCCUGGUUCCCGGAUCCUCCUUUCCACGCCCCUUGGCCUAACCGCCACAGGCCCGGCACGCAGAGGGAAGAGCCCCCUUAUUUGGUCUUGGAAAGAAAGGGGAAAGGUUAUCCUCAGAUGCCUGCGGCGUUGGGUCAUCGGCCCGCAGCGCUUGGCCCGCGCCCGGGCGCAGCGCCGUCUCCCGCCGGUAGGUGGCGGCGCCGGGCAGCGCCUCGCCGGCCGCCCGAGUGGUAAACAAGCCCGCAGGUUCCGGUACCUCCGCUCCGGGCUUCUUUUGUGUGCGCGCCGUGAGGGAGGGGCGGGAGGGCCGGCCGGGGGAGGCAGAAGCGCGCGAAAAGAAAAAACAAAGCCUUUUAUAUGGGAGAGACAAGCUUUCAAAAUCGGAAAGUCGGCUUCAGCGCGAGGGCGUGACUUUGCCGUGUCGGUUUCGUGUGAACCGUUUGCGAGCGCACGAGGGGAUGCGGGCAUCCGUGUUACGGUCAGCCGGGCAGUUGGGGUGCAAAUUCCGUGAGGAACAUUAAUAAGACGCUAUGUGAGGAUUAGAACCUGCUUGGGGGUUUCCUUUCCUUCCUACCCCCACCCUCUCCUUUCUUCUCUCACUGCCUCCUUCCCCCUCCCUCCCUUUGCCAGCCUCUCAGGUGAGCUGGCGAGGUGCAGCGAGCCACCUGCCUUCUCUUGGCCAGAGCGGGAUGGAAGCGGAGGUCCCUAAGCCCUGCCUACGUGCAGGCCGGCCCUUCCUCACCCGGAUUGCUGAUCCUCACACCACACCAGGAUGACAGGAAUUACCCUCGCCGUUUGACCCGGAGCUCGGAGAGGCUGAGGGCACACGGACAGGAAGUGGCAAAGCUGGGAUUUGAAUCCAAGUCCUUCACAGUUCGCAGGUGGAUGGAGCCCAAGGAACGUCACACCGUGCCACCAUCAUCUCAGGGACUGCCCUGUUUGGAGGGCAGCAGCACCCAGCCAUCCAGCGUGGAUUGAGGAACAGAGCUGUGCAUCCUUGGCCGUGCUCUGUAACCUCUGUGCUCCAGCUGUUGUCAGGAGUUAAUGAUUUGUUCGGGUGUGAAGGACUUAACACAGUGUCUGGCCCAUGAGGAGCACAGUAGGGACACCUCCCAGGAUUGUUGGGAGGAUUAAAUGAAAUAAUGCCUGUAAAUCCCUCAACCCUGGGCCUGGCACCCAGAAAGGGUUCAAUAAACGUCUGGUGAGCACUAUAAUCGGCUACCUCUUUUUGAGUGUCAGCUAUAUGCUACAAACUGUUUAAGGCUCUUUACAUACGCGCUUGAAUCCUUAUGGAAAACCUAGGAUGUAGAUAAAAUUAUUCCAGUACAGGGACUUUGGAAUUAGGUGAGUUAAGUAAAAUUACCCGAGGUCACACAGCUAGUAUGUGGCAGCCCCAAGAUCUGGCUGGCUCCAACGUGUGUGCCCUUUUGAUUAUGGGCAGCCUGGGAGGAAAGAAGAAAUUAUAAACAGUCCUAUGUGGUGGGCUGAAGGGUCUUCAUGGGAGAGGGGGUCAUAACUGCCUCCUCAUUAUGAAUAACUUGCUAUUAUCCCUGUGUCUUUGGGGUGGCUCUGGAAGACAGUGACAUAAGGCUGAUUACAUAUGCAGAUAUAAGAACCAGUGGACUACAGCCACCUUUGGGUCUCCUGACUGUUGUCUGCCUAAAUUCCAAAAGCCUCCUGGGGCCCUUUCAAGCCCAGGCUAGAGAUGGCUCUAUGUACUGGUUAGGAUUCUUUCUGUUUUUGCAAAAGUCAGAAACUCUACUCAAACUGGUUUAAGCGAAAAAGAGGUAUAAUAAGCUCAUGCAACUGAUAAUGGAAAGGUAUGGCUUCAGGCAUAGCUUGAUCCAGGAGUUUCAACAAUAUUAUCUGGACUUAGCCUUAUCCACAGCUCAGCUCUAGUUUCCUCCAGAUCGGCUUUAUUCUCAGAUCGGCUCUCUCACUGACGCUUUUUGGCCCUCAUUGGCCAGGCCUAGGAAAACUUGAGUCCUUAAAAGAAAAAUCAUGGUUCUCUUGUUAAAAGAGGCUAGGGAUGCUAAGCAGGCAAGAACAACGGAUGCCCACUCCACCCUGCUGAUAUAACACCAUCAAUCAGGAAGAUGGAGAGAAAAGACUUUAAUUGUG